UACGAAAAUUAGAGAUUAUGU
rnacentral:miRNA from 1 species